GCCUGGCUGGCUCAGUCGGUAGAGCAUGUGACUCUUAAUCUCAGGGUCGUGAGUUCAAGCUCCAUGUUGGGCA